rnacentral:lncRNA from 12 species
GUCAGCCAGAAGAAACAGCCUUUCCUGAGGUUCCCUGGCAUUGACUCUCUGCGCUCCCCCCACUGCCAUGUGUGAAGGCAUCCUGCAGUGAAAGGGUUAAGAAUGCACAGGGAAUUCAUCAUUUCAACUUGAGGAAACUAGAAUUGACAAGCAAACAAAAUCCCUGAAAUUUAAGGUAAAAUGAAGAACAAAUUAUUUUUAAAUGUAAGACAAUUAUUUUAAAAUUAACUGUGUCUGAUAG